UCCUACGGGAGGCAGCAGUAGGGAAUCUUCGGCAAUGGACGAAAGUCUGACCGAGCAACGCCGCGUGAGUGAAGAAGGUUUUCGGAUCGUAAAACUCUGUUGUUAGAGAAGAACAAGGACGUUAGUAACUGAACGUCCCCUGACGGUAUCUAACCAGAAAGCCACGGCUAACUACGUGCCAGCAGCCGCGGUAAUACGUAGGUGGCAAGCGUUGUCCGGAUUUAUUGGGCGUAAAGCGAGCGCAGGCGGUUUCUUAAGUCUGAUGUGAAAGCCCCCGGCUCAACCGGGGAGGGUCAUUGGAAACUGGGAGACUUGAGUGCAGAAGAGGAGAGUGGAAUUCCAUGUGUAGCGGUGAAAUGCGUAGAUAUAUG
rnacentral:rRNA from 1 species